UUGCAGCACAGCUUCCCAUGCUGUUAUUUCUUUUGUAGUGAGGAUUGGUCCCCUGCAGUCUAUGAAGGAGGAGGGGGCGUUCCUUUCAAGAGGAGUGACCUCAGGGAUCCUCUGCCCUCUCAAUGCAGAGAAAACAGGGCUCCUGGACAAUGAUUGACAGCCCAGAACACCAGUCAGAGCAUUCCUACUGCUGCUUGUCCCCCACACACUUCCUGGAUUUUGUCCUAGCAGCUGGGACGCAGAUGACACAGCCAAUAAAAAGAACAGCAUCCAAGCCAGAAGUAGGACCUCUAGUAAAAAAAAAAGCAACUAUAUUUUCUAUGCAUGUAAUGUUUUUUUUUUUUGUACUCACAUAUUGUUAUACAUCAACAGUUUUUGACAGUGCCCAUUUAAUAUAAAUCAGUUAGAGGAAACUCCCUAGCAGACACGUGACCACUGUGCCCCUGGCUCCUCUUCUCGCUUAAAACUAGUACCGAGGCCCACAGAGGAGCACGCUGGCAUGGAGCGUUUAUCACGUUUGCUGCGUCAUGACGUCACGGCCGAUUUCUUACUUCUACGUCGGGCGCGCAGUAGGUUCGUUAAGGCAGGUGUGCUGUGGAAGCAGGCUGAGCUAUCGCCAUGAGAGCUAAGUGGCGUAAGAAGAGAAUGCGGAGGUAAGCAUUUACAAGGAUGUUUAUGCUUUGGUUAGGUGCGAGUCCACAAUAGCAAUGCUGCAUUGUGACUUUGUCCGUAAUGAUUGAAAAGGUGGUAUGUUCACACUUUAUUACAAUUACUGAAUACAAAUCAAGGAACAGAAUAAAUGGAAAACGCAUACAUAAAGUGUUUUUUCUUUUAUUGAAGUGGUGUUGCAAAUUUUAAAUUGUACUUAACGGAAACCCAAAUUAUGUUACGUACCUUGCUUAUAUUUGAUUUAAUUAAUAAAGUAGCCAUGUAGUCCUACUUA